AACGAACGCUGGCGGCAUGCCUAACACAUGCAAGUCGAACGAGAGCUUCGGGUAUAGUGGCGGACGGGUGCGUAACGCGGGGGAACCUGCCCUUAGGUUGGGAAGAACUCCCCGGAAGGGGUGCUAAUGUCGGAUGAUGUGUUCGUACCAAAGAUUUGUCGACGUUGGAUGGGGGGGCACGGGAUUAGCCAGGUGGUAGGGUAAAAGCCUCUCAAGGCGACGAGACAUAGAGGGUCUGAGAGGAAAAGCCGACACUCUGUGACUGAGACACGGCCGAGAAUCCUGCAGGAGGCAGGAGUGGGGGAUACUGGACAAUGGGGGGAGGCAUGAUCCAGCAAUGCCGGGUGAGUGAUGAAGGCCUUAGGGUUGUAAAGCUCUUUUACCCGGGAUGAUAAUGACAGUACCGGGAGAAUAAGCUCCGGCUAACUACGUG
rnacentral:rRNA from 1 species